ACCAGAGGACCUGAAUUCGAGCCUUAGCACCCCUACAAAAAGCCCAGCAUGGAGUGGUGUUCCUGUAAUCUUAGCGCUGAGAAGGCAGGGACAGAAGAAUCUCCAGAGAGGCUUGACGGUUAGAUUCUCAGCAUCCACACAGCAGCUCACAAUCAUCUAUAACCCCAGUUCCAGAGGAUCCAUUUAACCUCGCUGGUAUGCCUCAGGUCCCCUUGAAAAACUGUCCAAAGAAUACGUGGGAGGCAGAGGCAUGUGGGCCUCUGAGUUCCAAGCCAGCUGGGGAGACUCAGUAAGACCCUGUCUAAAAAAAGAAGGUGGCUGGCUCCUGAGAAAAGACACUCAAGGUUGUUCUUCAGCUGCACUUGCACACAGGGGCACAAGCACACAUUACACACACACACACACACACACACACACACACACACACACACACACGCAAGCGAGGAGGCUAGGGAAAUCGCCUUUGGUAUGGCUUUCUUGUUUGUUUGUUUGUUUGUUUGUUUUUUUCCGAGACAGGGUCUCUCUACAUAUAUAGCCCUCAAUCGAUAGAUCGGACCUUGAAAUCAGUAGUGAUAAGACCUUCAAUCAAGAGAUUCACUUGCCUCUG
rnacentral:lncRNA from 1 species